UCUCAGCCAACGUAUCCAAAACAGCAACGAAAAACAAUUAAGAGUGCAAUCCAUUUUCGAAUACGCGUCUUUGUCAUCUUUGCGUGAGAUGUCGCUGAGAUCGCGGCCAAAAGAACUAGCGCUGACUAGGAAAAUUACGAAUUUACAAAAUUUCUGAAAAAGGGGACAACCUCCUGAGGUAUAUUUUCGAACUUUUUUCCUCGAAAUAAUCGAAAUUACUGUUCCAAUCGCUUUUAAUCCCGAAAUUUCCCAAAUUUUUGUUUGAAUGGUUCGCUUUUCGGAAAUUCAACAAUUUUCGGAUUUUCUGGAACCUUUCCUAGGAAAUUUCCGUACCAUUCGUCCCCGUUUCGAAAUUUGCGGAAGUUUUCGUAAAAGCGCCCCAGGAUUUUUCAUCGCCAAGUGAGAACGUGCGAACUGUGGGCACUGGGGACAUAAUUCGAGCCAAUCAGAAAACAAGAAUUAUGUGGCGCGAGCGUGUUGUAAAGCGUGCAGUGCACGAAGGAUCGCAAAGGGGCGCGAAGGUUACCGUGGGGAAAUCAUCAAGACAGACCACGUUUGUGUUUACAGAAGACAUCUCAAAAUAGAACGUUUGUGAGCAUUGGUGAAUCCUUUUUCGUUGUAGUGAAACUGGCCGAAGGAAAGUGCUCGACUGUCUACGUCGUCUGGACGUUCGACAAACACAAAUACUUGAGGUGGGAUGACUUGCUCAAGUUUUGAAGAGCUCAUUUCGUUGCCAAAGAGGCUGCAGCGGUUGGUAAAUUAAGCUGGCGAAUCACAGUGUGAACAGCUGACUGAAGAAAUGGUUAGGAAUUUUUCACGUGUCUUUAAAACGGCCGAACAAGAAACCUCUGCAGCUGUUUACGUGUACGUCAGUAUGAAUGCCGAACGUUCGUUGAGCGCCAUUUUUCGUCGUUUACCUUUCUCGUCUGUAUCGUAUUUGGCGAACGUCAGCUUAUUUGUCAUAGCGUUCUAAUUCAUCACAAGUUCCAAGGAAAAGGUAGGAAUAUCUUGAUAACGAGCCAAUUUGUGCUGGAGUAUUCCGAGUUACAGACACAACCUUUGGGGAAAAAAAAAAAUCGAGUGAAAGGAGUUGUGGGAUCCUGUAUUUGUUUUGGUUUGGGAGCGAAACUGCGUCAUGGUCCCAGCAGGGGGAGGGUUCUCCUUGUCCGGGCUAUACCAUAAACUUCUGAAGGUAACGACCCCUCGAAAGUAACUACCCCCUAAGGAAAUAAUCCCCCCGAAAGUAGGGACCCCCCAAAAGUAAUGUCAAAAAAUUGUGGCUGCUAAUAAGUUGGGAAAGUAGCGACCCCCCCCCCUUCUGAAAAUAGUGGGAUCAAGGUUCACUGGUAUACAGUUGAACCUCCAGUUGCGACCACUUCUUUUAAGUGACCACCUCUCCUUAGUAACCAGUUUUCCUAAACGCCAAAAGUUUCCAAGUCAAAUCACUAUAUUUAGAACCUCUUGUAAACCACCACCUCUCGCAAGUGACGGUUGCCAGUUUGAGAGGCUAAAAGUUUGAAAUUGUCUUUUGUUUUUUACUCCCCAUAAACGACCACUUGACAGAUAAUAGAGAGAAAAUUGGAUAAUAAGGUGUUGUGACACUAUCACAUUCCUUGGUAGUACAAGAGACAGAGUUUCCCAAUGGGAAGUACCCGAUUUUUUUCUCGAAAUUGACUUCCACAUGAAUAGAACAUUUUAGUCAUGGGGUAAGUCUCUGCUGUUACCAUAUGCUAAUGAGGCAAAAUUUGGACCCAAUAUGGGGUAAGCUCUUGUAAGCGACCACCUCCUGUAAGCACUUGCAGGAGGUUUGACUAUUUUAAAAAAAGUUACCGUACUAUCACUUGAUUUAAGGCACUCCACAACAAGGGAAGGUAUCGCUUAUGCCAUGAAGGGUUUUGAAACGUCAAUUCAUGCUUUGUCAGUGUGUCAUGUUGAAACAAAACUGUAGAAUUUUUAUCAAGUAACAGGAACGUACUAAUAGGAACUUUUCUUUCAAUUAAAACUGAAAACUCUGUAUCAUUUCAGCAGGUGCGUAUUAAAAGGAGCGUUUCUUCAAACCUAAAUUGAAAACGUGAUCAACACACUGUCAUAAUGUUAAGGCAGGCUAACAUAGCAGUGCGUCACGAAGAAACAGUUUACAGUAUCUGACAAGCUUUCCUGCUGGCCACUGACAACACGGUCUAGGCAUAAAGAGCCCACCCAUUUGGCAGCAACAUAGCUGUAAACUGGAAUGGAAAAUUUAAUUUGAAGAACUGUUUUUACAAAUUUCUGUCUUAUGUUUUGUAAAAAAUAGCUCAGUUGUACCAACUCCAUAACAUUUUUUUGCUCCUCGAAAGUAACGACCCCUCAAAAGUAAUGACCCCCCAAAAGUACAUGUAAUGAGCCCCAAAGGCUGCUAAUACCAAAAGCAAGGAGUAUCGUUACUUUGGGAAGUUUACGGUAAGUUACUUCUAGAAUAUGGAAUUAGGGCCGGGUUGCACUACAGUCAAAAACCAAAAUUAGCCCAUGCAAAAACUUCUAAAAAUUUGAAACCGCAAAUGGAAUUGCCAAAAAUUUGAGAACAUUUAUCAGGGUCGCACUGCAAAUUACAUAUCAGUGAUCAGAUUUCAGAUCAAUCCGCCAACUGCGCGGUAAAUGUGUGGUGAUUUUGGUAAACAUGAAUGCGAAUCAGGCGUUUUGUGUGGCUAUUGCUGUUUUACUUCUUCAAAUUAUCAACAUUCAACUGCAGCAAAUGUUUGCCUUUUUCAUUCUGUAUCAGAGAUGGGCAAAUGAAUAGAGGGAAAUUCUGAACAUUGCUAUUCUAAGAAGACGGCGACAUUUCCGUCGAGUUCGUAAUAGGCCCUACACAUGGACUAUUCCUCGCCCAGCCAAUUCAUGGUUUGACAUCCAUUAUAAUGACCCGACAAUUCCACAGGAGUACCUUCGACAGCAGUUAAGGGUUAACAGGAACACUUUCGAAACAAUACUCCAUAUCUUGGGCCCGAGAUUAGAGAGGCGAAACACGCAAUUCAGGAAUUGUUUACCUCCAGCGAAAGUUCUUGCUUUGGGGCUAUACCACUUGGCCCACAGAAAUUCAUAUUCAAGCAUUGGCCUGGUAUUUAAUGUAGGCAAAUCGACUGUUAUCAAGGCUGUACAAGACAUUGUGAAUGGUCUCUAUGAACUUUGUGACGAGUAUAUAAAAUUUCCAGAGACUCUCGCUGAGGUCAAUACAUUGAUUGCAACGUUUGCAGAUCUUACCAACCUACCAAACGUUGUUGGUGCUAUUGAAGGCUCGCAUAUUAGAAUUAAAGCACCCAAUGACAGUGCACCGGAUUAUUUUAGUUGGUAUCAGCAACAUGACUUUAUAAUCCAAGCUAUUGCUGAUGGCAAGAAGAUUUUUAGAACCACUCGGGCUAUUGGAGCUAUUGCUGGAAGUUGAUGUCGGACUGAUGGAUCGGUUCUGAGCACUUGCCAAAAUACCGUUAGGCCUUUGUAAGUCCAAGUCUGGUCGAGCCUGCAUAGGGUUAUAGCAGCUGAAGUUGUGAAAACGCAUUGGGAAAGAUCCGGGCGCAUAAUAAUAAGGAAAUCGUCUGUCCAUGCUAAAACCAUGUGCAUAAUAAUUACAAGGUUCCCGACGAUGAAGGUAGAGGAUCGACUUGCAAUGGGUCAAAUUGAUUAGCGAUGACAUCUCUGGAAGCGGCUUCCUUUGUUUUCCUCGAUUUUUUCAAAAUCAGCCUGCCCCACCCAUGCACUACGGUGUCUUUGAAGUUUAGUCGGUUUUCCCAAUUUUUUUCUAAACUGGCGAAAAGCCGGUUGCAUUAGGAAACAUGACAUGAUGACAGAUUUUUAAUCUAAAACAAACACAAAUUUGAACGAAAUUUCACAAGUGCGACCCGGCCCUUACAUGUACUUUCACAUUUGUUCCUGUAUCUGUUGAGUUACAGAGCCACAAAUAGGGUAUUGAACUUUCCCAUUUUUUUCUUAAAUAGGGCAUAACUUUUGCACUUUAGUCUUGAAUUGGGUACUUUUUCACUAUUAUCCAUAAGACCAUCAACAAAAGCCUUCCACAAGGACUUUAACAGCAGGGAACUAAUAUUAUUAUAAGGCAGGUCUGAAACAGGGUAUUGAUUUAAGGGUUAGGUUUUAAAUAGGGUAUCAAAGUUUUGGUCAGGUCAUAAAUAGUGUAGGGAAAAUCACAGCUUUUAGUCUUUAAUGGGGUUGAGGGUUUUGGUAAGUGGGCCACAUACCCAUCCCCCCCAUUAAGCCGGUUUUAAAGCAUCAAGCCGGUUUUAAAGCAGCUACACUGGCUUCCAAUAAGCCAGCGCAUCAAUUAUAAGAUUUUACUUUUAACCUAUAAAGCGCUCAACGGCCAGGCCCCUAAUUACAUUACUGAACUGCUAGAGCCUUAGGUACCAAGCAGAAAUCUUCGAUCCUCCUCCAAAAACCUCUUGAAAGUACCACCUGUCAAGUUAAUAGGCUAUGGUCAUAGGUGUUUCUCUUUUGUAGCACCUAGCCUAUGGAACUCUCUUCCGAACAAUAUAAGAGGGAGCGGCUCGCUAUCAGAUUUUAAGACUUGUAUAAAGACAUAUCUUUUUAACAAAUUUUAUAACUAGACUUUUGGUUAGUUAGCUAAUUAGUAGAUUAGAUAGUUUAGCUAGUUAGUUAGUCAGUCACUUAGUUAAGUUAGUCAGUUUUUAUUUAAAGGUUUUAAUGAUUCCUAGUUUCACUUUCAUUUUUACAGCUUAGC